CCCUUAGAUGUUCUGGGCCGCACGCGCGCUACACUGAUGCAUUCAACGAGUCUAAAACCUGCUCUGAUAGGGGUGGGUAAUCUUUUGAAUGUGCAUCGUGAUUGGGAUAGAUGAUUGCAAUUUUUCAUCUUCAACGAGGAAUGCCUAGUAAACGCAAGUCAUCAGCUUGCAUUGAUUACGUCCCCGCCCUUUGUACACACCGCCCGUCGCUCCUACCGAUUGAAUGAUCCGAUGAAUAUCAUGGAUUGAGGAUGCAAGUAGGUUCGCCUAUCUUCAUCUUCGAGAAGUGAAGUAAAUCUUAUCAUUUAGAGGAAGGAGAAGUCGUAACA
rnacentral:rRNA from 1 species